rnacentral:lncRNA from 1 species
CUCAAUAAUCAUAUAAAUAAUUUUGACACCACAUUUUCAUUCAAAACCUUAAGAUAUUAAGUUUACAAAUUAUUUCAUUUAUAUGUUGUUCAAUAACAAUUCUUCCAACCAAUGUAGGACUUGAUAUAUCUCAGCAUCUUCCCUCAAAUGUAAGUCUCUCUGUGUCCAUAUGAUCCAUCAUCAUCAUUCACUUAUUGCCCCCUGUUGAAAUAUGUCUUGAAAUCUCAGUUACAAGAAGUCAAAAAAAUCUUUGUACAGUCUGUCUGCUGCGAGGCGCAAACUUGUAAUUUUGUCUCAUGGAGUCAGGUUCUGCCUCCUGCGCAAGGCACAGGGAGGGCUGUGCGAGGCGCAGACGCGUGAUGCAGUUUUGCAGUUUUGCAGAUUUUUUGUGAAAAUAUCUUUUCUUGUAGGGCACUAUGACUUGGAUUUGUUUUAUUUUAAAACAGAUUUGUUGCUAGUUUUUUGGCAUAUAUUUUCUAUAAAUAGAGAUUACUUUAUUCAUAGAAAAAUUGAGAUUGAGAGAAUAAGGGUUUGCAGUUUGCCAAUACAAAGGCAAAGGUUAUGGUUUCUCCUUGGGUAGUCUAGGUCAAUGGAGUCUCUUGGUCACAUGAAGAGAUGCAGAAUUUGGGUAGAGUUAGUGUUUGCUAAUUCCAGUAACCCAAUUGAGAUUUCUUCGUGUAAAGUUACUUAUUGAUUCUAGUGGAACGGAGGGGCUGCUCUCUCUCCCAAAGUAGGUUGUUUUGACCGAACUGGGUAAACAAAUAUUGUGUUCUUUGUUAGCCAAAAAAAAUAUUGUGUUCUUUCUUCUCAUUUAUCUUGUUUGUCAUUUUUAUUAUUAUUGCUUAUUCCUCUUGUUAUUGGUUGCCGUUCUAUUGCUCCACACAUCAAGUAUUUCAUUGGUGUAAUUUUAUGACGAAUUCACAACACCUCCCAUCACGGGCGGACACUUGUCCAGGCUCUGGUAAUUUGUUUUUGGUAUUUUAGGGGUUAGUUUAAGGUAAAAGUAAAACUGAGUUUUUUUGGGUUCAAAAUUGAGAUUUUUUAGUGCAAAAAGAGAUUUUGUCUAGACUUUAUAAUUGUUUUGGCUCCGCCACCACUGCUCCCAUCAAGUUGGACUGGGCUUCGAUAUCACUGUUGGGCCUUGAGGAGAAGCCUCAUUGAAUUGGAUCAACACAAUUGGUUAAGAGCAACUACAUAAGUGACUUUUGACACAAUUGUCACUAAAAAUCCUAAAACAUUAGGUUUAUUUAACAUCCACACUUCCAACCAACUUUUAACUCACACUCAAAGAUAUAUCUCAACACAAAGUCACAAACACACCCUUCUAUCUACUUGCAUUGUUGUGUUAAUGGUGAUGUGUGCAUGACAACACCACCUGUUAACUAACUUAAUUUCAUGUCAUAUAUAGGUGCUGAUUUGCCCAUAUUUUACAACUUAUUUUCUUUUUAUAAAAAAUAUUUGGCUUUUUAAAUUUAUUAAAUAAGUGAUAUAUUUGAUCUAUAUUCUAGACCAAAGGCAACGAUUAUUUAACAAACCUAAAGAAUGAAUUAUAUUUCUUAUAAUAAAAAAGGAUGGGAGAAAAUAUUAAGCCAAGCUAACUUUUUGGUGAGGCAAUAUGUUGUUCAUAUAUGAUCUAUUCCCACCUCCUACCUGAAUGGACACAAUACAAUGUUGCUACUUUCGAUUUGAGAAGACAAUUAUGUCCCUUAUCCUCAUGAUAAGAAUAAAUCUUCCAAUUAAAGUUAUUAUUACAUUAUUUUGAUAGAUAUAUUAAAGUUACUAUUAUGAUAGAGCACAUACGUGAUACUUAUUUUGUGUGUGAUUAAGAUGAACUUAUUGACAGAUCACAAAUGGAUAUACAUUUUCGACACAAGGAGAACUAUCCCAGCAUAUUCUCCAACUUUUUGUAGGAUUUGAUGGACAAUUAUUACUUCUUUAUUUUAAUUUAUAUAUUAAAAUUUAAAAUUUGUUUAUUUUCUUUCUUAAUUAUUUUGUUGAUUUUUGAAUUACUUUAAUAUCAUAUCUUCUUAAGCAUUCUACUUUCUACAUAUUUGCGUUAGUAGAUUUGUAUUGUAGAAUAUAAUCUUAUGGACCUACAUAAGUUAGAGUGACUAAAUUCCACGAUGAUACAUUGAUACGAUAUAUAUAGUUAGAGAGAUACACGUAAAAAUGAGCCCUUAAUAAAUUUGAAUCUAAAUAUCACAUUUUUAUAUUGAAGCUUUAAAAUUUCACUUUGAAGUUAAAUUCAUUUUAUGUGUAUAAAAUAUAUUUUUCAGCUCACUAAAAUAAAUUAUAGUAGAAAACAAAAACUCAUCGAAAUAAAUCUGAACUUAGCACGAUUCUAUGAAAUAGAAGAGAACAUGAUUGAGAGCAUUACUAAACUGUCAUAAUGAAUUACCGCUAUAUUUGCUUAAAAAAUGAGUAAAUGUUCAACUUGGUCCCUGACUUUUUCGAAAUUGACAACUUAAUUAGUUCCCAUAAUUAACAAAAUUAUGUGUUAGUCCCCAGUUUUCAAAAUGUUAUUCAAGUUAGUCCCUCUGUCAUCCCCAAUUAAUUAACAGAGUUAACGACGUGACACAUUAUCUCCCAUGUCUUGCAAGACUAAAUUGAAACGUUUUGCUGGAAGUACAAAAGACACACCUUAAUUAACACGUCAACAAAUGUGGGGACCAAAUUGAUACUUUUUUGUGUUGUUUACAUACAUUAGUGUGAACUCCGGACAAACAACUCAUCAUUUCAACCCUUGUCUCGUUCUUCACUCUCUCAAACCACUGUUCCUUCCGUGUUCGUCUGUUCCUGAAGCUCAUUCUCGCUACAUGUUGAUGUUUAUACAUGCAUUUGUAUGUUUUUUUAGUAGUUGAAAAAAAAAGUUGGAUUGAUUUUUUUUCUGUUAUUCUUGUCAUUUUGUAAGUUACAAGGAUCAUUAUGCUUGUAAGUAACAUAUGUCACGGACCAUAUUGAUAUUUUUUGACCUAUUAAAUUUUCACGCAAGGGAUGGGAAUGAGGUAUGGUAUUAAAGGACCACUUACCAAAGGCUCCUAUCAAAGGACUUGCUCCAAAUCUUAUGAGAGGACUUGCUACAAAUCAUGUGAGAGGUCCUACUCCAAAUCCUGUUAAAGGAUCAACUCCAAAUCUUGCAAGAGCUCCAAAUACAAAUCUUGUGACCAUCUCCAAAUUCAAGUGGCUUAACUCAGCAACUAUCACCAACAAUCAUUGUUUCCAGUGACCUAGACAAGAAGCACAAUCUCAUGACAUUCAUCCCAACAGGGAUGUGUUUGUAUUUAAGCCACCAUAGAAAUAGGGAUGUGUUUGAGGUCUUUUUAAAUGCAUUUGAUCAAUAUAUUUGCAGAAUAUAGGUGCUAUUUUGGUACUAUUUUAAAUGAAUUUGUUUAAGUUAAUGUCCACUUUUUGAGAUUUAUUUGGUUGAAGUUAUAUCAACUUAUGUGCACCUCUUGAAAUACGUUUUAUCAUGAUGUAUUAGUUCAAACUGUUUUAUGUAUGCUUAUUUUGCAAAAUAUGAGUGUUUAUUUUUAUGUAAUUUCAGUUUAUAAGUAUCUAUUAGUACAAACUGCCCAAAUAAUCGUGCUUUAUGUGAUGUUGGCAUAGAGGACCGUCUCCACAUUUUACCACAAUCUUAUGGAACAUUUGGAAACAACGCAACAAUAAGGUUUGGAAUAACAUGGUUGAUGCUCAAGGCCUUGUAAUUGUUAAGAUAAUAUAUUAGUGAUUUAAUAAUGUAAUGGGCUUUUGGUUGUAAUUGGGCUUUGAGCAUAAUAGUAAUUUGGUUUAUUUUGUUGGUCUCUGUUUGAUUUUACACAAAUUGAUUUGUGUAUUAGAAGUUUAGAAGUAAAACAUGAAAGGGGAAUGAAGUUCAUAAGGAUUUGGUAGGCCACAGUUUGAGGUUCUUGUUUGAGUCUGAGAAUGGUUUUGUUUUUGGGUUUUGGUAUCUCGAUAAUUUGGUACGAAAUAAAAAAAAAAUUGUUCUCCACCGUUUGGUCAUUGGUGGAUUAAGGACACAAGCAACUUGCAAUCUUUGGCAGUUUGGUUUCUUGGUAUGUUAAUUGUCCUCUCUUUAAUUUGAUCGUUACUUAUUGAUUGGUCAACAUUUGCAAUGUUUGUGGGUGUCCAUUUGAAGUUUGUUAAACUCCUAUGUUCCAUUAUAUGCUUUGUUAUUUGUUUGGUUCCCUUGAUCUCUUUUGUUUAAUCUUGUCUUGGGUUAGUUUUGUUGUUCUGCUUGGUUUGAUCUCAUUAACUUAGUUUCAUUUGGUUCAGUUUGUUGAGUAAAAAAAAAAGCUUGAUUUGUUGGUUUGGUUCGGUUCAGUUUGAUUUAGUUUCGCUGGCUUGUUCCAUUAAUUUGGAGAUUUGUUUGAAUUAAACAGUUUGGUGAGGUAAUAUUCACAAUUUUUUGGUUUAUUUGGUGAAUGAGUCGAGUGCUCACAUUUGGUGAGAAAUACUCACAAUUUGGUUAUUUGGUGGGUCUAGUACUCACAAUUUGAUUGUUUGGUAAGUCACAAUAGUGCUCACAAUUUGGUUUUUUUGAUUGAUCGUNNNNNNNNNCCCCCUUUUUGAUGCUUCUAAUUGGUUGUCUCUUCUCUCUUUGGUUUCUGAUUCUUCUGAUUGAUUGCAUUGAAUUUCUCCCUCUGUUGGUUUCUUCUGUUUGAUUACACUUCUCCCCGUUGAUGUCUUAUGUCUGAUUGCAUCUCUCUGCUGAUCUUCUUUUGUCUAAUUGUCCCCCCCGAUGAUUUCUUCUGUUUGCUUCUCCCUAAUGAGUCUUUGGUUUGAAUUCUGUUGAUUGCCUCUCCUGUUGAUUUCUUUUGUUUGAUUGCUCCUCUCUCUGAUGAUUUCUCUUAUGUUGGAUUGCUCCCCUCCGUCUGUUCUUCUAUUUUGGUUGUUUCUCUUUCUAUUGACCGAUUCUUCUGUUUGGUGUUCUGGUUCUUCUUUAUGUUGGUUUUGCUUGAUUGGUUUGGAUUGGUACAAUUUGAUUUGGUUUAGUUUGGACCGGAUAAGUUUGGUUUGACUUGGUUUUGUUUGGACGUUUCUUUCUGCAUUUUCAAUGAUGUCAACUCAGGUUGGUUGCUGCUCUCAGGUAGUUGUUUUGGUUUGAUGUCUUGUUUGACAACCUCUCAAUGCUUCAUGUCAAGACAUUGUGAGUUUGCAGGGAGAUGUUAAGAUAAUAUAUUAGUGAUUUAAUAAUGUAAUGGGCUUUUGGUUGUAAUUGGGCUUUGAACAUAAUAGUAAUUUAGUUUAUUUAUGUUUUUUAUAUAUUCCUAAGACAACUCAUUGUAUUCUAAGCCAUUGUAAUGUAAACCCUAGUCUCUUUUGUCUCUUUCUAUUUCUCUCUUUGAUUGAUUCUGUUGUUAACAGUAAUCACAUGCGCGAGGAACUUAUACAUGACUGGUCUGUUGUCCUCACAAUACAAAACCAUGCAGUGAAGGAAUUUAAAAGAGAAUAGACAUGAAUCAUUAGAUACAAAUGUAGCAUAUUUUAUUAUUAGAGAAGAUCGUGAUGCGUACCUUUUAGGAUUUCAGAUAGCGGUGACAGGAGCAAGCAUGAGAGGCGGAACUACCCUCUACCUCAUCACCAUCAGCAUUUCAGAG